AUUGAACGCUGGCGGUAUGCCUUACACAUGCAAGUCGAACGGUAACGGGUUAAGCUGACGAGUGGCGAACGGGUGAGUAAUGUAUCGGAACGUGCCCAGGCGUGGGGGAUAACUGCUCGAAAGAGCAGCUAAUACCGCAUACGACCUGAGGGUGAAAGCGGGGGAUCGCAAGACCUCGCGCGAUUGGAGCGGCCGAUAUCUGAUUAGGCAGUUGGUGGGGUAAAGGCCUACCAAGCCGACGAUCUGUAGCUGGUCUGAGAGGACGACCAGCCACACUGGGACGGAGACACGGCCCAGACUCCUACGGGAGGCAGCAGUGGGGAAUUUUGGACAAUGGACGCAAGUCUGAUUCAGCCAUGCCGCGUGCGGGAAGAAGGCCUUCGGGUUGUAAACCGCUUUUGUCAGGGAAGAAACGCUCUGGGUUAAUACCUCGGGGUAAUGACGGUACCUGAAGAAUAAGCACCGGCUAACUACGUGCCAGCCGCCGCCGUAA
rnacentral:rRNA from 1 species